rnacentral:rRNA from 1 species
AUUGAACGCUGGCGGCAGGCCUAACACAUGCAAGUCGAACGAGUGGCGGACGGGUGAGUAAUGUCUGGGAAUCUGCCGGAUGGAGGGGGAUAACUACUGGAAACGGUGGCUAAUACCGCAUACCAUCGGAUGUGCCCAGAUGGGAUUAGCUAGUUGGUGGGGUAACGGCUAACCAAGGCGACGAUCCCUAGCUGGUCUGAGAGGAUGACCAGCCAAACUGGAACUGAGACACGGUCCAGACUCCGACGGGAGGCAGCAGUGGGGAAUAUUGCACAAUUGGCGCAAGCCUGAUGCAGCCAUGCCGCGUGUAUGAAGAAGGCCUUCGGGUUGUAAAGUACUUUCAGCGGGGAGGCGUUACCCGCAGAAGAAGCACCGGCUAACUCCGUGCCAGCAGCCGCGGUAAUAC